rnacentral:rRNA from 1 species
GAUGAACGCUGGCGGCGUGCCUAACACAUGCAAGUCGAGCGAAGCAUUUUAAAGGAAGUUUUCGGAUGGAAUUUGAAAUGACUGAGCGGCGACGGGUGAGUACGCGUGGGUAACCUGCCUCAUACAGGGGGAUAACAGUUAGAAAUGACUGCUAAUACCGCAUAAGCACACAGUACCGCAUGGUACGGUGUGAAAAACUCCGGUGGUAUGAGAUGGACCCGCGUCUGAUUAGCUGGUUGGCGGGGUAACGGCCCACCAAGGCGACGAUCAGUAGCCGACCUGAGAGGGUGACCGGCCACAUUGGGACUGAGACACGGCCCAA